AGUGAACGCUGGCGGUAGGCCUAACACAUGCAAGUCGAACGGCAGCACAGUAAGAGCUUGCUCUUACGGGUGGCGAGUGGCGGACGGGUGAGGAAUACAUCGGAAUCUACUUUUUCGUGGGGGAUAACGUAGGGAAACUUACGCUAAUACCGCAUACGACCUACGGGUGAAAGCAGGGGAUCUUCGGACCUUGCGCGAUUGAAUGAGCCGAUGUCGGAUUAGCUAGUUGGCGGGGUAAAGGCCCACCAAGGCGACGAUCCGUAGCUGGUCUGAGUGGAUGAUCAGCCAACCUGGAACUGAGACACGGUCCAGACUCCUACGGGAUGCAGCAGUGGGGAAUAUUGGACAAAGGGCUCAAGCCUGAUCCAGCCAUGCGUCGUGGGUGAAGAAGGCCUUCGGAUUGUAAAGCACUUUUGUUGGGAAGGAAAGGCAGCAAGUUAAUACCCCGCUGUUCUGACGGGACCCAAAGAAUAAGCACCGGCUAACUUCGUG
rnacentral:rRNA from 1 species